rnacentral:lncRNA from 1 species
ACACCGUGUUUAGACGAUGAUCCGAACAAUUCACAUUCCAUUUCAUGCAUUCAUAUAGAGCCUAGAUUAGUUUUAUAACGGUUUAGCACCAAUGUGGUAAAUUGCUUGAUUAUGCAUUAUGUCUAGGUGGUGAAUCCUCCGAUAAGGGCAAAAAAGUUGUACCCGAAGAUCAAUAGUCGGAGUACUCCAAAAGAAUUCAAACU